GAUCAGUGGCGAACGGGUGAGUAACACGUGGGCAACCUGCCCCUGGCUCUGGGAUAACUCCAAGAAAUUGGGGCUAAUACCGGAUGUGACCGCUGACCGCAUGGUCUGGUGGUGGAAAGAUUUAUCGGCCAGGGAUGGGCCCGCGGCCUAUCAGCUUGUUGGUGGGGUAGUGGCCUACCAAGGCGACGACGGGUAGCCGGCCUGAGAGGGUGACCGGCCACACUGGGACUGAGACACGGCCCAGACUCCUACGGGAGGCAGCAGUGGGGAAUAUUGCGCAAUGGGCGAAAGCCUGACGCAGCGACGCCGCGUGGGGGAUGACGGCCUUCGGGUUGUAAACCUCUUUCAGCAGGGACGAAGCGAAAGUGACGGUACCUGCAGAAGAAGCACCGGCCAACUACGUGCCAGCAGCCGCGGUAAUACGUAGGGUGCAAGCGUUGUCCGGAAUUAUUGGGCGUAAAGAGCUCGUAGGCGGUUCGUCGCGUCGGCUGUGAAAUCCCGAGGCUCAACCUCGGGCCUGCAGUCGAUACGGGCGGACUUGAGUGUUGCAGGGGAGACUGGAAUUCCUGGUGUAGCGGUGAAAUGCGCAGAUAUCAGGAGGAACACCGGUGGCGAAGGCGGGUCUCUGGGCAACUACUGACGCUGAGGAGCGAAAGCGUGGGGAGCGAACAGGAUUAGAUACCCUGGUAGUCCACGCCGUAAACGUUGGGCGCUAGGUGUGGGGGCCAUUCCACGGUCUCCGUGCCGCAGCUAACGCAUUAAGCGCCCCGCCUGGGGGAGUACGGCCGCAAGGCUAAAACUCAAAGGAAUUGACGGGGGCCCGCACAAGCGGCGGAGCAUGUUGCUUAAUUCGAUGCAACGCGAAGAACCUUACCUAGGCUUGACAUGCACGGAAAUCCUCCAGAAAAUGGGGGGGUCCGUAAGGGCCGUGCACAGGUGGUGGCUUGGUUGUCGUCAGCUCGUGUCGUGAGAAUGUUUGGGUUAAGUCCCGCAACGAGCGCAACCCUCGUCCUAUGUUGCCAGCGAGUAAUGUCGGGGACUCAUAGGAGACUGCCGGGGUCAACUCGGAGGAAGGUGGGGAUGACGUCAAAUCAUCAUGCCCCUUAUGUCUAGGGCUGCAAACAUGCUACAAUGGCCGGUACAAAGGGCUGCGAUACCGCGAGGUGGAGCGAAUCCCAAAAAGCCGGUCUCAGUUCGGAUUGGGGUCUGCAACUCGACCCCAUGAAGUUGGAGUCGCUAGUAAUCGCAGAUCAGCAACGCUGCGGUGAAUACGUUCCCGGGCCUUGUACACACCGCCCGUCACGUC
rnacentral:rRNA from 1 species